rnacentral:rRNA from 1 species
GGGUGUGAUCAUACCAGUGUUAAUGCAUCGGAUCCCAUCAGAACUUCACAGUUAAGCGCGCUUCAGCUAGAGUAGUAUUGGGAUGGGUAACCUUCUGAGAAGUCCUAGUGUUGCACCCU